GAUCAUCUGCUGUGGGUGUUCCUGAUCUUUGAGCCAUGAUAAUGUUACUGGUUGGAUGUCAGGAGCAGGCCAUGUGGAUGAUUAAAAGAUGAAUAUCAUAUACAGCAUGGAUAUGUUGGACAAAAAGAUGAUUCACAUCCCAGACAGAAUGGAGCAGAGUAUUGAUUCUGCAACAAACUGAGAAGAAACCUGGCGAUUCACAACAGAGAGCUGAGAAAUCCUAAGUCUGGAUUCCAGCUAAAUGGGAGCAGACUAAAUAGAGCGGCAGUCGGCGAACUACAUGUAGCCCAUGAACAAAAUCCGGUCCAGCACGUGUGUUUUUUUUUACGGCCCACAAAUGAGUCUGUCUUUACAGAUGAAUGUUAAAACUGGGUUGACAAGAGAGAACACUCACUUUGAACCGCAACUAAACAAAAUAUUAUCACCUUUCCCCUCAAAAAAGGUUUUUGUUCUUCUCAUUAGUAAAUUUGUAUUAUGACAA
rnacentral:lncRNA from 1 species